GCCUGCACCUCUAGCACAUCUUGCAUCCGCGACUUAGACCGCGACUCGAGUCGACAUUCCCGCGGCUGUCAAAUCUGUCGAUUUCCGUAGCACAACUUGUACCCGCGACUGCAACAGCCGCGUAGAGAACUCAAAGUCGCGGCGCGACUCAUCAGUGUUCCCCGAUGGAAUCAAAGUCUAAACAUAAAUGCUAUUUACAUGUGACAACACUGAAUCGGAAACAGGGUUGCGCUAUUUCAUUCGUUCUUUGGUGGUAAAAAAUCUAGUUUAUUGUCGAUGGUUAAGUUUUUCCUGUCAAAGUCAAGGAACUUUCAAAUUUUGUCAACAUUUAAUUACGAGAAAAAAUAUGAAAAAAAUAAUAAGUCCAGCAUUAUCCUAGACACGAUUGAUAUCCCAGCACCCAAAGGAAAAUAUUGUUAACAGGAAUGUGCCAACGGGACCCGAAGUGGAGAGUCAGGAAAAGAAACACACUAGGCAAGCUUGUAGGUUUCAAACGCGGAGCUGUCCGUUUCUAAAGUCACUAAGAUGUGAGAAGCGCUUUAGCUUUAAGAACACCACCGAGGAAGUGAACUAUUAUAAUAACCAUAAUGGUUAUGGCGUACCUAUCUAUAAUUCAUUUUUUUUUAGCAUUAGAAAUAAGGUAAACAAUCUUGAUGUGUCUUUUAAUUGAAAAACACAUUUUAAAAAUAAGUUACAGCAAAUAUGUAACAAUUAUGAAUCUAAUACGAUCAUUUAUAUUUUUCUGCUUUCAUAAGCAAAUAUUGUGCCAAUAAUGGAUGGCAUGUGUGUGUACUGUGUAGUGUGUAACUGUUUAUGAUUUGACAAAUUGAUUUGAAAAGCUUAUUUCAUAGUCCCCGAUGAAGUCACAACCAUAUUUUAUUUUUUUGUUUACAAACCAAUUUUCUUUCCAGGGUGAUAUUUAAUUGUCCUACGCCACAUGUCGAAUAAAAAGGAAGACAGAAAAUACUUUUCAAGGGUAAUAAAGAAGAUUCUUACAAUUUCUCUAUUGUGGUUCUAGAUGUUAAUAAUAUAUUAGGUUUAAUAAUAAGAAGUCGAAUAUUGCAAGAAUAUAUAAGGCAAAGCAAUAUACUAUUAAUUUAAAUA